CCCUAUGGCCAUACCACCCUGAACGUGGCUGAUCUCGGAAGCUAAGCAGGGUCGGACCUGGUUAGUACUUGGAUGGGAGAAGAGGGAGUGACACCAGGGACAGGUGUGC
rnacentral:rRNA from 1 species